CUUUCCUUUACUUGUUUUGUUUCCGCCGCAUUGAACUCCCUUUCCUCUACCCUUUGUUUUCAAUUUUUGAACUCCAAACGUAGGCAGCGGUUGAGAAAACCACCUCAAAAAACCCGAAAUCUCUCAACACACUUCCUCUUUAUUUAUUUUUCUUCGCACAAGUUGGAAAUAGAGAGGGGUAUGAGGAGCUUCAUUGCCAGACUUGGAAAUCCCGAAUUGAGUGAGGACAUAUAUAAAAGAAGGGUAAAUAAGAACAAAGUGAAAGAUGUUAGGAGUAUACAGGUUGUUUUGUAACAUUGGGAUGUUUUCGUAUUCUGUUUAAUGAAUGCAAAGUAGGUUGCGUGUAUUGCAUCUUUAGCUCUCAUUUGUUGUGGGACGGUUAAGUAAUGCCGGUUCAAUGAUAAGUGUUGAAUAUGAUCCGUCGUAGGGUCUCAAA